rnacentral:rRNA from 1 species
UACGAAGGGUGCUAGCGUUGUUCGGAAUCACUGGGCGUAAAGGGCGCGUAGGCGGCUUGAUAAGGUUGCGGUGAAAGCCCGGGGCUCAACCCCGGGUCGGCCGUGGCAACUGUCGAGCUGGAGCACUGUAGAGGCAGGUGGAAUUCCGGGUGUAGCGGUGGAAUGCGUAGAGAUCCGGAAGAACACCGGUGGCGAAGGCGGCCUGCUGGGCAGUGGCUGACGCUGAGGCGCGACAGCGUGGGGAGCAAACAGG